rnacentral:rRNA from 1 species
GGUUGUUCGAGACUAGAACGUUGAUAGGCAGGGUGUGUAAGCGUUGUGAGGCGUUGAGCUAACCUGUACUAAUUGCCCGUGAGGCUUAACCAUACAACACCCAAGGGGUUUUGUA